rfam:Bacterium B17 isolate B17 NODE_11_length_19746_cov_1698.62, whole genome shotgun sequence.
GGUCAAAUGUAUAAGGGCGUGCGAUGGAUGCCUUGGCAUCAGCAGGCGAUGAAGGACGUGGUAAGCUGCGAUAAGCUUCGGGUAGUGGCAUACACACUAUGAUCCGGAGAUUUCCGAAUGGGGGAACCCAGCUGGGGUAAUGCUCAGUUACUGGAGUUUGAAUAAAAUAGGGCUUCAGAGCGACACCGGGGGAAGUGAAACAUCUCAGUACCCCGAGGAAAAGAAAACAAAAGUGAUUCCCUGAGUAGUGGCGAGCGAACGGGGAACAGCCUAAACCAAUCAGCAUGCUGGUUGGGGUUGCGGGACAUCAACGUGGUAUUUCAGAAGCAUAGCGGAACGGUCUGGAAAGUCCGGCCAGAGAAGGUGAAAGCCCUGUAUGCGAAAUGUGGAUGAAACCUAGAUGUAUCCCAAGUAGGACGGGACACGUGAAACCCUGUCUGAAUCCGGCGGGCCCACCCGCCAAGGCUAAAUACUAGCUGAUGACCGAUAGUGAACUAGUACCGCGAGGGAAAGGUGAAAAGUACCCCUGUUAGGGGAGUGAAAUAGUACCUGAAAUCGUACGCUUACAAACUAUGGUAGUCCCGUUUAACGGGAUGGCCGUUUGCCUUUUGCAUAAUGAGUCCGCGAGUUACAGUAUGUGGCAAGGUUAACUCAAUGGAGGUAGCCGAAGCGAAAGCGAGUAUGAAAUGUGCGACACAGUCGCACGCUGUAGACCAGAAGCCGAGUGAGCUACCCAUGGCCAGGCUGAAAUUUCGGUAACACGAAACGGAGGGCCGAACCAUUGCGUGUUGAAAAACGCUUGGAUGAGCUGUGGGUUGGAGUGAAAGGCUUACCAAACUCGGUGAUAGCUGGUUCUCUUCGAAAUAGCUUUAGGGUUAGCCUGCGCUAAUGCUCGUGCUGGAGGUAGAGCACUGAUUGGAUGAUGGCCCUUACCAGGGUACUGACGCCACUCAAACUCCGAAUGCCAGCUCAGUCAAGCGUGGAGUUAGACUGCGGGGGAUAAGCUCCGUAGUCGAGAGGGAAACAGCCCAGACCGCCAGCUAAGGCCCCGGAAGUUAGUUAAGUGACUAAGGAUGUGAAAUUGCAUGGACAGCUAGGAUGUUGGCUUAGAGGCAGCCACCAUUUAAACAGUGCGUAACAGCUGACUAGUCGAGUGAUUUUGCGCCGAAAAUGAUCGGGACUAAAACUAACUGCCGAAGCUGCGGACCUCGAUUUAUCGGGGUGGUAGAAGAGCGUUCUAUUCGAGCCGAAGCGGAAGGGUAACCGACCGUGGAUUGAAUAGAAGUGAGUAUGCGGACAUGAGUAACGAAAAGCAGGGUGAGAAUCCCUGCCGCCGAAAUCUCAAGGUUUCCUGGGGAAGGUUCGUCCGCCCAGGUUAGUCGGCCCCUAAGCCGAGGCCGAAAGGCGUAGGUGAUGGGUAACAGGUUUAAUAUUCCUGUACUGCCAGUCCAGUGUUUGAGCGAUGGAGUGACACAGGAGGCUAGAUCGGCCGUCGAUUGGAAGUGACGGUCUAAGUUCGUAGGACGUUCCGGCAGGCAAAUCCACCGGAACAUUGUCUGAAAAACGAUGGGACACAAAGCUCUCGGGUGAUGUGGAUCGAUCGAUGCCAUGCUGUCAAGAAAAACUUCUAGUUAAUUGGAUAGGUAACCGUACCAAAACCGACACAGGUGAGAAGGUAGAAUAUACCAAGGCGCGCGAGAGAACCCUCGUUAAGGAACUCGGCAAUCUAGCCCCGUAACUUAGGGAGAAGGGGUCCUUCUAGCGGUGAUUCAUUAGAUGAGCUGCCGGAAGGCGCAGUGAAAGAGUCCAGGCGACUGUUUACCAAAAACAUAGCACUCUGCAAACUCGUAAGAGGACGUAUAGAGUGUGACACGUGACCAAUGCCAAAAGGUUAAGGUGAGUUGUUAUCCACUUCGGUGGAGAAGCUUCGACCCGAAGCCCUGGUGAAUGUCGGCCGUAACUAUAACGGUCCUAAGGUAGCGAAAUUCCUUGUCGGGUAAGUUCCGACCUGCACGAAUCGUGUAACGAUCUGGACGCUGUCUCAACGAGGAUCUCGGUGAAGUUGUAAUUCCGGUGAAGAUGCCGGAUACCCGCAGUAGGACGGAAAGACCCCGUGAACCUUUACUGUAGUCUGAUAUUGGUGUUUGGUUUAUCAUGUGUAGUAUAGCUGGGAGACUUUGAAGUCAUGUCGUCAGGCAUGGCGGAGUCAUUAGUGAAAUACCAGUCUUGUUAAGGCGAGCAUCUAACCCUGGCCCGUGAAUCCGGGUGGGGGACAAUGUCAGAGGGUCAGUUUGACUGGGGCGGUUUCCUCCUAAAAAGUAACGGAGGAGUUCGAAGGUACCCUCAGCAUGGUCAGCAAUCAUGCGUCGAGCGCAAUGGUAUAUAGGGUGCUUAACUGCGAGACAGACAUGUCGAGCAGAUGCGAAAGCAGGACAUAGUGAUCCGGUGGUAGCUAGUGGUAGCGCCAUCGCUCAACGGACAAAAGGUACUCCGGGGAUAACAGGCUGAUCGCUGCCGAGAGUUCACAUCGACGCAGCGGUUUGGCACCUCGAUGUCGGCUCAUCACAUCCUGGGGCUGGAGAAGGUCCCAAGGGUUUGGCUGUUCGCCAAUUAAAGUGGUACGCGAGCUGGGUUCAGAACGUCGUAAGACAGUUCGGUCCUUAUCCACUGUGGGCGUAGGAAAUUUGAGGAGAACAUUCCUUAGUACGAGAGGACUUGGAAUGACGUACCUCUGGUGUUCCAGUUGUUCCGCCAGGAGCAUCGCUGGGUAGCUAUGUACGGAACGGAUAAGCGCUGAAAGCAUCUAAGCGCCAAGCCUCCUCCAAGACUAGAUUUCCCUUGGCCUUCGGGCCACUGUAGGCAGGUUGAAGACUACGACCUUGAUAGGCUGGGUGUGUAAGUUCAGCGAUGAAUUAAGCUUACCAGUACUAAUCAGCCGUGAGGUUUGAUCUU